rnacentral:rRNA from 1 species
UGGGGAAUCUUGGACAAUGGGGGCAACCCUGAUCCAGCGAUGCCGCGUGAGUGAAGAAGGCCUUCGGGUCGUAAAGCUCUUUAGGUCGGGAGGAAGGUUAGUCGUUUAAGAGAUAGCUAAUUUGACUGUACCGACAGAAUAAGCACCGGCAAACUCUGUGCCAGCAGCCGCGGUAAUACAGAGGGUGCGAGCGUUAAUCGGAUUUACUGGGCGUAAAGGGUGCGUAGGCGGUUAUAAGAGUGUGAUGUGAAAGCCCCGGGCUUAACCUGGGAAGUGCAUCGCAAACGAUAUAACUGGAGUAGUUGAGAGGGUGAUGGAAUUUCCGGUGUAGCGGUGAAAUGCGUAGAGAUCGGAAGGAACGUCAAUGGCGAAGGCAGUCACCUGGCAACAUACUGACGCUGAGGCACGAAAGCGUGGGUAGCGAACAGG